GGAAGUAAGAGUCGUAACAAGGUUUCCGUAGGUGAACCUGCGGAAGGAUCACUACUGAAGUGAGUCUUCAUCAUUGAAGCUUCUUCCCAUUGUGCUGGCUUUGACCGUAUGUAAUGUUGGGGAUUAAACAUGGUUGAAAUUUUUUUUAGCCGUCCCCAACAAUUUAUCUUAUCCUUUAUUAAAUUGAACUGAACUCAUUUUGAGAUUACAUAAAAAAUAAUCUUUUAAUACAACUUUCAACAACGGAUCUCUUGGUUCUC
rnacentral:misc_RNA from 1 species